rnacentral:lncRNA from 1 species
UAGACUUAAUGGAGGUAUAAUCUUAAGAACCCAAGAGCAUAUUCCACUCUUGGACCCUUAACACUACACACAACGUUCACCUAUCUCUUACGAAGACACAAGGUCGGAAUCCACCUCCCAAGCAUCACGUUUCCAAGCCAUGAGAUCAACAAGAGUGAUUCCACACUCUCUAUGCCUAAUUUCGGUUUUGGUGUCUCAAGGAGAGAGGACUUGUGUUUUUUUGUGUUUCAAGACUUACAACAUCAUGAAUAAUCUAAGUCUAAAAGCCCUACAAUGUUCAUUUAUACUAGGUUACAAAUAAAAUACAAAAUAUCCAAAAUACCCUUUUAAGAGCUAGGCUCCCUUCAAGUGUAUUUAGGGGCUGCCUUGUUGUGUUCCAAGGCUCCUCUUUACACUCCAAGUGUGAGAUUAGGGUCGGUUUGGUUUGUUUUAAGUCCUUCACUCACACACUCCAAGCCCCGGGUUCAUUACAUUCUCACAUGUGUCCAUCUUCGUAGUCGAACUUGUUUCAUCCUCCCCUCCUUAAAAAAGAUUCAACCUCGAAUCCAUGCCUUGCAAAAUCAAAGAGAGACAAACAAGCACACUUCCUCUUGGCAUGAGGGUUAGGAUUAGCAAAAGUAAACAAUAAUGGUAUGCACUCAAAACACUCAAAACAGCCCACACCAAAAACAAGUCUCGACAUGCCAAGGUGGUUCAUAUUUGACAUAUACCCAAAAGUCUUUAGUGUUAAACAUUAUGAAGCCAUCGAAAAAUUCACCAAGGACUUGGCUAUGAUAAGCACCUAAAAGAAACGCACCUAAGCCGAGAGUAAAUCUUCCCCACCCUAAGAUGGCACCGAGAUCAAAUGGGAAGAGUGGCCAUAGACACGGUUCUAAACAACACACCCGUUUCCCGUAGUCUUUACCACAACCACACGGCCUACUCUCUACAUUGGCCUACAUAUCAUCAGAAAUAAAAAGAGAGUAGAGAAAGGUGGCAUUCAAUUCUACUUCUACUAUGGUGUCCUCAGAAAAGCCACACAAAGUAAAAAAAAGAAGUAAUUUCCAAGACCACACAUUCCUUACCCUUAAGAGUACUCUCAUCUUCCAAGAAGAGAUUUCUAUCUUUAGGAGGAAUGUUGUCACACCAUAGUGGUUUAGCAUAUAGGCUAUAGCUUCCAAGGCAAGCUAUACCAUUAUUUUCACCACUAGGCCUAUUAGAAGUGUUUAAACUACCUUCAAACAAGACAUUGCACCUAAAGAGUGAAUGAUCUAACCCGCGGACAGAUUUGGAACUUUCACUCUCUAAGGAAUCAUUAUCAAGUUUCAAAGAUAUGUCAAGCACACGAUUAACCCUAUGAACCAAGAAAACAUUAGAAUCUUUACAACAACAUAGGCUCACGGUUUCACUCCUUUUUUCUUAACCAACAUUUUCAAAUUCUUCACUCACUUGAGACUCAUUAAUCAUAUCACACAUAUUCUCAAGUGGUGGGCAAGUUUUACACACAAGUUGGUCAACACAAAUUUCACUCGACGAUGUACUUUCAUUCAACACAAUAGCUUCAACACUAGGUAGACACAAAUCGAUCUUACUAGAUGAGUCGAUUCGGUCAUCUAUAGGAUCUACUAGUGUAUCCACUCGCACAACAUGUACAUCAUCCACAAGUGGUAAGGAAUCAAUAUACUCAUAUAUAGGUAAGCUACUACUCACACUCAUCGUCUUAUUAGUCACAUGUUCAUCAUCCACAUGUACCAAAGUGUAAGAGAUAGUUAUUUUACCUUGACGUUCAUGAGUACGUUCAUCUUUACCUUGGUAUGAAAGUCCUUCACAAGUUUGGGCAGCAACUUCCUUUGGGAAGCUCUCACCACAAGGUGUUUAGACCUUAUAUUUUGGAUUUGUUGGGAUAAGUAUAGAUACCAAUUGGCGUAGCCUUUCAACAUGCCAUUUCAUGUCUUCAAUAUUGUCGGUGAUGCGAUCAAACGUGGCAUUGAGAUUGGUGGCAUCCAUGGUACCUAAGAAAAGACAACAACGAACAAUAAAACAAACAAACUUGUUAGCUCAAAAAUUCCUCACCACACUCUCACUCUCGAUUUUUGCCUCACACUUAGUUUUACAAGUGUUUAAAGCCAGCUUGUACUUCGUGAGUGAUUGAGGGAGGAGUCCACCUUGGUCCGGAAUAGAUUUUCGUUUGAGUUGAUCAAAGAAAAUUUUCUUACGGACUUGAACCAACAAGAUACAACGAAUUCACAAAAGAGAAAAAACACAAAAGAAACGUAGACAUGAACAACGGAUUCAAGAACUAAGUGACAACCUAGUAGAAGUUUACUAGCUUGUUAAUUAGUACUAGGAUCAAUUGAACGAAACUAAGAGACAAUAAAAUAAAACUAAGAAAUCUAUAAUUUGAGCUCGAAAAUAUUGCGUGAACAGUAACAAUGAUGACAUAGUGGCCAUGUAUUGGUUCGGUUUUAUCAGGUGGUUAUUCUCAAAUGUUCAAGUCUUGGUCAAAAAUUAAUUUGGAUUGGUGGAAUUUGUUUUAGGAGGAAAACUAAGUCUUGGAGCCUUUUUUAAUUUUCAAGACUUGACUUUUUCUUGUACUUCUCCUUAAACAUGGGUCCUUAAAUCAUGGAAAAGUAGUUGAGAAGUGAUAUAAAGUCUUUUGGUGGUUGGAGGUCUUUCAAGACUAACAAGUACAUACAUCUUUUUCCUUCAACUUUUAGGAUCUAGCACUCAUUUUAUGUUCUAACAAUAUAUGAAGGAAGGUGAAGAAAUUCAAGAACAACAACAACCACACCAAGAACAAUAACAACAAUCUUCAAGAACAACAACAAUUCCAACGGCCAACUCCAAUCCCCACCAACAAAAUCUUCAACACUUGGCCAAGACAAUUACAACUUCAACAAAAUGGUUCUCAAGAAACCAAGUAACAACAAUAUCAUGUGGUCAAGUUUAGAACAUCAAGGAGAAACCGCACGGCCAAAACAGUCCACCACAACAAUGGUCAACAACAAUGGGCCAAGCCUAUAUUCUCUUACUUGUUCACGACAACAACAACAAAGCUCAAACUUAGAUAUGGACUCAAGUGUUAGUAAAGAAAAAAGCUGACACUAGAAAUACUCAAGACAAACAAAAAUCUUGGCCAAGACACAACAAGAACGCAAUUCUUGGCCAAGAACACAACACGGGUAGAUUGCACUUUUUUUUUAUUUUUCAGCUUUUCAAUAAUUUUUUUUUUUUUUGAAUUUUCUAAUCAAGCAAGCCCAAGAGUGAUCUUGUAGGAACAAGAUCUAGCCAUGCUUUGAUACCAAAUGAUACAAGAAGCAUAAGGAAAACACAAAACAAACACCAAAUCAGUCCCAAAGUUUGAAGAACCGAGGACCCCUUUGGUGACCACUCUCGGAUUCACCACAACAACAAUGAAAACACAAUAACAACAAGAUAUUGAAGGUGUAAAAUACACCAAAACAACAACAAUAUGGCGAGAUGGACAACAAUAACAAGAUAGAAACAACACACAGUUUUACUAACAAGAGAUAGAAAUGGUUACAAGAACACAAACUACUAUAAGAUUACAAUAAAAGUAAAGGGAUAGUUAGAUAGACUUAAUGAAGGUAUAAUCUUAAGAACCCAAGAGCAUAUUCCACUCUUGGACCCUUAACAAUACACACAACGUUCACCUAUCUCUUACGAAGAUACAAGGUCGGAAUCCACCUCCCAAGCAUCACGUUUCCAAGCCAUGAGAUCAACAAAAGUGAUUCCACACUCUCUAUGACUAAUUUCGGUUUUGGUGACUCAAGGAGAGAGGACUUGUGUUUCUUUGUGUUUCAAGACUUAAACAUCAUGAAUAAUCUAAGUCUAAAAUCCCUACAAUGUUCUAUUUAUACUAGGUUACAAAUAAAAUACAAAAUAUCCAAAAUGCCCUUUUAAGAGCUAGGCUCCCUUC